UACGUAGGGUGCAGGCGUUAAUCGGAAUUACUGGGCGUAAAGCGUGCGCAGGCGGUUUGCUAAGAGAGAUGUGAAAUCCCCGGGCUUAACCUGGGAACUGCGUUUCUAACUGGCAGGCUUGAGUGUGGCAGAGGGGGGUGGAAUUCCACGUGUAGCAGUGAAAUGCGUAGAGAUGUGGAGGAACACCGAUGGCGAAGGCAGCCCCCCUGGGCUAACACUGAC
rnacentral:rRNA from 1 species